rnacentral:lncRNA from 1 species
UUUGCUUUCAAGGGGUUGUUGAGAUCCCUUUUGGAUUCUUUGUUGGAGAUUAGGGUGGGAAAUAAGCAGGACUGCUGAGGAGUCUCGGCUGUCACUUUGGAAUAUGAAAACAGUCUGGCUUCAAGUAAACCCAGUUUGAGAUUCACGCUCCCUCCUCCCUGCGCUCCUCAGCCGUCUCCCAUAAUCACUGGUCCUGGAUGGGAAUUUGUGGGAGCUGGUUGGGCCCAAACUGCGAUUUCUCAUCCAAUGCAAUGGAAAAGCCAAAAUGAGAAGAGUAAAGUUUAAAUCAGACAAAUUGCACAAAGGUCCACGAAAAGCCACAAGGAGACCACGUGCCUUUCCGAAGGGUGACUCCAGGACAAGGGGAUGGCAGGCUCAACGAAGGUGUUCAUCUUUUAUCCCACUUUCAAUUGCGGUGAAGUGCAUGAAGCAGGACCUAACUGGAAGAACAGAGAGUCAUACAUAUGUCCCAACUCAAACCCAUCAUUGAAAGUGAAAGUGGGAUAACGAUGUGUUUGUGCUUCCUUUGUUAUAAAAAGAAAACUGUUUUC